UGAGAGAUAAGUUAAGUUAAAACUAUGUGGUUCAUGACCAUGAAAUAUAAAUUUUUAUUCUUUCUG
rnacentral:tRNA from 1 species